rnacentral:rRNA from 1 species
AUGCCGACCAUCUCUCCUAUCACGGUCGCCGCGGCGGGAUUCGCCACGGCCUUCAUCUGGCCGACGCGGCGGGGCACGGGAUCGGCUACGGAAGAAGCGGUCCCUCCAGGAGGAGGCUUGCCUGUCCUCGUCCCGACCAUGCCGGUCCUCCCGGUCGCGGUCGUCGUCCUCAUCACGGCGAUGGUGGUCGUUGUCGUCUCGGCGUUGUGGAGCCGGCUCCUGUCUGUCACGGAGACGCGACUCACCGUCAACCACACCCAGCCUAAUAGUGAAGGGCUGCGUACGUGGCCGGCGAGGAAUCCGCCCCGAGGCGUCAGGCAUGUAAUCCUCGAGGAGGUCCAACCCUUGCAUUGA